UACGUAGUUUUCAAUCGUUAUCCGGAAUUAUUGGGCGUAAAGCGCGCGUAGGCGGUUUUUUAAGUCUGAUGUGAAAGCCCACGGCUCAACCGUGGAGGGUCAUUGGAAACUGGAAAACUUGAGUGCAGAAGAGGAAAGUGGAAUUCCAUGUGUAGCGGUGAAAUGCGCAGAGAUAUGGAGGAACACCAGUGGCGAAGGCGACUUUCUGGUCUGUAACUGACGCUGAUGUGCGAAAGCGUGGGGAUCAAACAGG
rnacentral:rRNA from 1 species